rnacentral:rRNA from 1 species
CUACGGGUGGCAGCAGUGGGGAAUAUUGCACAAUGGGCGCAAGCCUGAUGCAGCCAUGCCGCGUGUAUGAAGAAGGCCUUCGGGUUGUAAAGUACUUUCAGCGGGGAGGAAGGGAGUAAAGUUAAUACCUUUGCUCAUUGACGUUACCCGCAGAAGAGGCACCGGCUAACUCCGUGCCAGCAGCCGCGGUAAUACGGAGGGUGCAAGCGUUAAUCGGAAUUACUGGGCGUAAAGCGCACGCAGGCGGUUUGUUAAGUCAGAUGUGAAAUCCCCGGGCUCAACCUGGGAACUGCAUCUGAGACUGGCAAGCUUGAGUCUCGUAGAGGGGGGUAGAAUUCCAGGUGUAGCGGUGAAAUGCGUAGAGAUCUGGAGGAAUACCGGUGGCGAAGGCGGCCCCCUGGACGAAGACUGACGCUCAGGUGCGAAAGCGUGGGGAGCAAACAGGAUUAGAUACCCGCGUAGUC